UAGAGUUUGAUCAUGGCUCAGAUUGAACGCUGGCGGCAGGCCUAACACAUGCAAGUCGAGCGGAUGAAGAGAGCUUGCUCUCUGAUUCAGCGGCGGACGGGUGAGUAAUGCCUAGGAAUCUGCCUGGUAGUGGGGGACAACGUUUCGAAAGGAACGCUAAUACCGCAUACGUCCUACGAGAGAAAGUGGGGGAUCUUCGGACCUCACGCUAUCAGAUGAGCCUAGGUCGGAUUAGCUAGUUGGUGGGGUAAAGGCCUACCAAGGCGACGAUCCGUAACUGGUCUGAGAGGAUGAUCAGUCACACUGGAACUGAGACACGGUCCAGACUCCUACGGGAGGCAGCAGUGGGGAAUAUUGGACAAUGGGCGAAAGCCUGAUCCAGCCAUGCCGCGUGUGUGAAGAAGGUCUUCGGAUUGUAAAGCACUUUAAGUUGGGAGGAAGGGCAGUAAGUUAAUACCUUGCUGUUUUGACGUUACCGACAGAAUAAGCACCGGCUAAUUC
rnacentral:rRNA from 1 species